rnacentral:rRNA from 1 species
UACGGAGGGUGCAAGCGUUAUCCGGAUUCACUGGGCUUAAAGGGUGCGUAGGCGGGUUUUUAAGUCAGCGGUGAAAGCUCCGAGCUCAACUCGGAAAUUGCCGUUGAUACUAUUAAUCUUGAAUUUAGUUGAGGUGGGCGGAAUGUGUAGUGUAGCGGUGAAAUGCUUAGAUAUUACACAGAACACCUAUUGCGAAGGCAGCUCGCUAAACUAAUAUUGACGCUGAGGCACGAAAGCGUGGGGAUCAAACAGG